rnacentral:rRNA from 1 species
UACGGGGGGAGCAAACGUUGUUCGGAAUCACUGGGCGUAAAGGGCGUGUAGGCGGCUGGAUAAGUGGGAUGUUAAAUCCCCCGGCUCAACCGGGGACCUGCAUCUCAUACUGUUCAGCUCGAGCACAUCAGAGGAGACUGGAAUUCCCGGUGUAGCGGUGAAAUGCGUAGAUAUCGGGGGGAACACCAGUGGCGAAGGCGAGUCUCUGGGAUGAUGCUGACGCUGAGGCGCGAAAGCCAGGGGAGCAAACGGG